GCCCGUUUAGCUCAGUAGGUAGAGCGUUCGUCUCAUAAUGAAUCAUGCAAUAUGAAGGGAAAGCGAAAGGCCGUCAGUUCGAUCCUGACAGUGGGCA
rnacentral:tRNA from 1 species